rnacentral:rRNA from 1 species
AUUGAACGCUGGCGGCAUGCUUUACACAUGCAAGUCGAACGGCAGCGCGGGCUUCGGCCUGGCGGCGAGUGGCGAACGGGUGAGUAAUGCAUCGGAACGUGCCCAGUAGUGGGGGAAAGCCCGGCGAAAGCCGGAUUAAUACCGCAUACGACCUGAGGGUGAAAGCGGGGGACCGAAAGGCCUCGCGCUAUUGGAGCGGCCGAUGUCGGAUUAGCUAGUUGGUGGGGUAAAGGCUUACCAAGGCGACGAUCCGUAGCUGGUCUGAGAGGACGACCAGCCACACUGGAACUGAGACCGGGCCCAGACUCCUACGGGAGGAAGCAGUGGGAAAUUUUGGAAAAGGGGGCAACCCUGAUCCAGCCAUGCCGCGUGCGGGAAGAAGGCCUUCGGGUUGUAAACCGCUUUUGUUCGGGAAGAAAUCCUCUGGGCUAAUACCCCGGGGGGAUGACGGUACCGGAAGAAUAAGCACCGGCUAACUACGUG